UUAAGUUAUUAAGGGCGCACGGUGGAUGCCUUGGCACUAGAAGCCGAUGAAGGACGUUACUAACGACGAUAUGCUUUGGGGAGCUGUAAGUAAGCUUUGAUCCAGAGAUUUCCGAAUGGGGAAACCCAGCAUGAGUUAUGUCAUGUUAUCGAUAUGUGAAUACAUAGCAUAUCAGAAGGCACACCCGGAGAACUGAAACAUCUUAGUACCCGGAGGAAGAGAAAGAAAAUUCGAUUCCCUUAGUAGCGGCGAGCGAAACGGGAAGAGCCCAAACCAACAAGCUUGCUUGUUGGGGUUGUAGGACACUCUAUACGGAGUUACAAAGGACGACAUUAGACGAAUCAUCUGGAAAGAUGAAUCAAAGAAGGUAAUAAUCCUGUAGUCGAAAAUGUUGUCUCUCUUGAGUGGAUCCUGAGUACGACGGAGCACGUGAAAUUCCGUCGGAAUCUGGGAGGACCAUCUCCUAAGGCUAAAUACUCUCUAGUGACCGAUAGUGAACCAGUACCGUGAGGGAAAGGUGAAAAGCACCCCGGAAGGGGAGUGAAAUAGAACCUGAAACCGUGUGCUUACAAGUAGUCAGAGCCCGUUAAUGGGUGAUGGCGUACCUUUUGUAGAAUGAACCGGCGAGUUACGAUUUGAUGCAAGGUUAAGCAGUAAAUGUGGAGCCGUAGCGAAAGCGAGUCUGAAUAGGGCGUUUAGUAUUUGGUCGUAGACCCGAAACCAGGUGAUCUACCCUUGGUCAGGUUGAAGUUCAGGUAACACUGAAUGGAGGACCGAACCGACUUACGUUGAAAAGUGAGCGGAUGAACUGAGGGUAGCGGAGAAAUUCCAAUCGAACCUGGAGAUAGCUGGUUCUCUCCGAAAUAGCUUUAGGGCUAGCCUCAAGUGAUGAUUAUUGGAGGUAGAGCACUGUUUGGACGAGGGGCCCCUCUCGGGUUACCGAAUUCAGACAAACUCCGAAUGCCAAUUAAUUUAACUUGGGAGUCAGAACAUGGGUGAUAAGGUCCGUGUUCGAAAGGGAAACAGCCCAGACCACCAGCUAAGGUCCCAAAAUAUAUGUUAAGUGGAAAAGGAUGUGGCGUUGCCCAGACAACUAGGAUGUUGGCUUAGAAGCAGCCAUCAUUUAAAGAGUGCGUAAUAGCUCACUAGUCGAGUGACACUGCGCCGAAAAUGUACCGGGGCUAAACAUAUUACCGAAGCUGUGGAUUGUCCUUUGGACAAUGGUAGGAGAGCGUUCUAAGGGCGUUGAAGCAUGAUCGUAAGGACAUGUGGAGCGCUUAGAAGUGAGAAUGCCGGUGUGAGUAGCGAAAGACGGGUGAGAAUCCCGUCCACCGAUUGACUAAGGUUUCCAGAGGAAGGCUCGUCCGCUCUGGGUUAGUCGGGUCCUAAGCUGAGGCCGACAGGCGUAGGCGAUGGAUAACAGGUUGAUAUUCCUGUACCACCUAUAAUCGUUUUAAUCGAUGGGGGGACGCAGUAGGAUAGGCGAAGCGUGCGAUUGGAUUGCACGUCUAAGCAGUAAGGCUGAGUAUUAGGCAAAUCCGGUACUCGUUAAGGCUGAGCUGUGAUGGGGAGAAGACAUUGUGUCUUCGAGUCGUUGAUUUCACACUGCCGAGAAAAGCCUCUAGAUAGAAAAUAGGUGCCCGUACCGCAAACCGACACAGGUAGUCAAGAUGAGAAUUCUAAGGUGAGCGAGCGAACUCUCGUUAAGGAACUCGGCAAAAUGACCCCGUAACUUCGGGAGAAGGGGUGCUCUUUAGGGUUAACGCCCAGAAGAGCCGCAGUGAAUAGGCCCAAGCGACUGUUUAUCAAAAACACAGGUCUCUGCUAAACCGUAAGGUGAUGUAUAGGGGCUGACGCCUGCCCGGUGCUGGAAGGUUAAGAGGAGUGGUUAGCUUCUGCGAAGCUACGAAUCGAAGCCCCAGUAAACGGCGGCCGUAACUAUAACGGUCCUAAGGUAGCGAAAUUCCUUGUCGGGUAAGUUCCGACCCGCACGAAAGGCGUAACGAUUUGGGCACUGUCUCAACGAGAGACUCGGUGAAAUCAUAGUACCUGUGAAGAUGCAGGUUACCCGCGACAGGACGGAAAGACCCCGUGGAGCUUUACUGUAGCCUGAUAUUGAAAUUCGGCACAGCUUGUACAGGAUAGGUAGGAGCCUUUGAAACGUGAGCGCUAGCUUACGUGGAGGCGCUGGUGGGAUACUACCCUAGCUGUGUUGGCUUUCUAACCCGCACCACUUAUCGUGGUGGGAGACAGUGUCAGGCGGGCAGUUUGACUGGGGCGGUCGCCUCCUAAAAGGUAACGGAGGCGCUCAAAGGUUCCCUCAGAAUGGUUGGAAAUCAUUCAUAGAGUGUAAAGGCAUAAGGGAGCUUGACUGCGAGACCUACAAGUCGAGCAGGGUCGAAAGACGGACUUAGUGAUCCGGUGGUUCCGCAUGGAAGGGCCAUCGCUCAACGGAUAAAAGCUACCCCGGGGAUAACAGGCUUAUCUCCCCCAAGAGUUCACAUCGACGGGGAGGUUUGGCACCUCGAUGUCGGCUCAUCGCAUCCUGGGGCUGUAGUCGGUCCCAAGGGUUGGGCUGUUCGCCCAUUAAAGCGGUACGCGAGCUGGGUUCAGAACGUCGUGAGACAGUUCGGUCCCUAUCCGUCGUGGGCGUAGGAAAUUUGAGAGGAGCUGUCCUUAGUACGAGAGGACCGGGAUGGACAUACCUCUGGUGUACCAGUUGUCGUGCCAACGGCAUAGCUGGGUAGCUAUGUGUGGACGGGAUAAGUGCUGAAAGCAUCUAAGCAUGAAGCCCCCCUCAAGAUGAGAUUUCCCAACUUCGGUUAUAAGAUCCCUCAAAGAUGAUGAGGUUAAUAGGUUCGAGGUGGAAGCAUGGUGACAUGUGGAGCUGACGAAUACUAAUCGAUCGAAGACUUAAUCAA
rnacentral:rRNA from 1 species